ACUCCACAUCACCCACCAAUCACAAAGCCUCAGGGUGAGUGUCUCUCCUCUCAUUGGUCCAUACUCCACAUCGCCCACCAAUCACAAAGCCUCAGGGUGAGUGUCUCUCCUCUCAUUGGUCCAUACUCCACAUCACCCACCAAUCACAAAGCCUCAGGGUGAGGUGUCUCUCCUCUCAUUGGUCCAUACUCCACAUCACCCACCAAUCACAAAGCCUCAGGGUGAGGUGUCUCUCCUCUCAUUGGUCCAUACUCCACAUCACCCACCAAUCACAAAGCCUCAGGGUGAGUGUCUCUCCUCUCAUUGGUCCAUACUCCACAUCACCCACCAUUCACAAAGCCUCAGGGUGAGUGUCUCUCCUCUCAUUGGUCCAUACUCCACAUCACCCACCAUUCACAAAGCCUCAGGGUGAGUGUCUCUCCUCUCAUUGGUCCAUACUCCACAUCGCCCACCAAUCACAAAGCCUCAGGGUGAGUGUCUCUCCUCUCAUUGGUCCAUACUCCACAUCGCCCACCAAUCACAAAGCCUCAGGGUGAGUGUCUCUCCUCUCAUUGGUCCAUACUUCACAUCACCCACCAAUCACAAAGCCUCAGGGUGAGGUGUCUCUCCUCUCAUUGGUCCAUACUCCACAUCGCCCACCUAUCACAAAGCCUCAGGGUGAGGUGUCUCUCCUCUCAUUGGUCCAAACUAGCACGCUACUUAGUAUGCAUAGCCAAUAGAGUAGUGGGGACAGUGUUAGGCGGUCUGUAUCAGUAGUCUGUCUAGGGGUGGGUGUAGUGGGGACAGUGUUAGGUGGUCUGUAUCAGUAGUCUGUCUAGGGGUGGGUGUAGUG
rnacentral:lncRNA from 1 species